UACGGAGGGUGCGAGCGUUUGUUCGGAUUCAUUGGGCGUAAAGGGUGUGUAGGUGGCGCGCUAAGUCGGGUGUGAAAUACUCCGGCUUAACCGGAGGGGGUCGUUUGAAACUGGCAGACUAGAGUACAACAGAGGAUAGUGGAAUUCCCGGUGUAGUGGUGAAAUGCGUAGAUAUCGGGAGGAACACCAGUGGCGAAGGCGACUAUCUGGGUUGUAACUGACGCUGAGGCGCGAAGGCUAGGGGAGCGAACAGG
rnacentral:rRNA from 1 species